CGCAAUCAGUCUUUUUUUCCCUCUUGCUGCGGUUAGGGAGGUUCUGUUAGACGAUGUAGGUUGGUCUUACGGCCUGUUAGUUUUGGUUACGUCUUUGUGUAUAUAUAAUUUUGUAAAUAGUUUUCCUUCAAUACCGGUAAUUGCUUAAUUGCCUUAAAUGUUUUUCAACCUAUAUGUAGUUUUUUGGUAGCAUUUACAAUUAGUUUCCGUAUAGCACUAGUUUGCUAUUUCGUAUUACUAUUAGCCUCGCAGCCUGAUCGGUUAUCGGUUUUAUGUUGCCGUUUUAUUUCUACCCGUAUCUCAUUCCACCCAAGAAACCUUAGUAAAGGGAAUCCAUUGUCCUGGAAAAACAGGUUGCCGGACUCCAGUUUAUACCAAUCCUUUACAUCAACUCCUCAAAUUAGACAAUGAAGUUUCUUUGUUUUGCCGUUCUUUAUGGGAGUCUGUGUUAAAUAAAUAAUUUAAUUUCA